UCAGAGGGUGUGAUGGCAUACUUCACCUGCACAACAGGGGGUCCUUUCACAAAGACAGCUCCAGGACAUUAUGGAUUCCCACAUAUUUUAUGCUGGCGACAGCAGAACAACAGAAUUUCUCUUUGUAUCUCUUGCUGUGGGAUUUUGUUGGUGAUGUAUAAACAUGGGUGCAGUGGUGGCCUUCAUCUGCACAGCAGGGGGUCCUCCUCCAAAGACAGCUCCAGGACAUGGUCUCCCUCAGACAAAUUCAUUGGAAAAUUUGGGAACCAUUCAAUGGAACAGGUCUCCCUCAGUACACAUGGAUUGGAAAACCUAGAAAACCUGGAUAACCUGGGAAAGCAUCAAUAGAACAGAUCAUUAAAAGGGAUUGCCAAAUAUUUUAUGCUGUCGACAGUUAUUUUGAAUGGAAUUUCUCUUGCAUCUCUUGCUGUUGGAUUUUGUUGGUGAUGUAUAAACAUGCUGAGGAUUUAUGGGGUUUUAUUUUAUAUCCUGCAACUUUUCUAACUUUAUGAAUUAUUUCUAAUAGCUUUUUGGUAGAAUCUCUGGGGCUCUCUAAGUAUACCAUCACAUCAUCUGCAAAGAGUGAUAGUUUGGUUUCCUCACUGCCUACUCUAAUUCCUUUAAUCUCUUAGCCAUUUUGGUGGGGAUGAAAAGGGAUCUCAAAAGACAAAACCAGGGGUCUCAUGACUAACACGGGGCUAAUUUUCAAAGGGUGCACUGACAGCCUUCAUCUACACAGCAGGGGGUCCUCCUCCAAAGACAGCUCCAGGACAUGGUGAGUGAUUUCUGUGUAGCCCUAAAAGCCCUCCCUAAAGCACCAGCUCUCAAGGCCAGCAAGGGGAAACUCUUAGAGAAAUAAUAGGGCUUCUCCCUAGGGAACCUGGAUUGGGAAAGGGAGAGUUGCAGAGAAAAACUUUCUGCACUCUAGGGUUUCUUCCAUCAUAUACCAAUUCUCAUCAAUAUUGUGGAGGUCUAGAGAUCCCAGCUGGAAAUUCUCCACAAAUGCCUGUAUAGAUCUGCCUCAGAAAAUGUCAAUUACAAAUAUGAGGAAAUCAUCUGUAGAACAGCAGGGUUUCCUCCUAUAAGCAAAGCUCCAGAACAUGGACAAACAUAGAGAGUCCUCCCUAAAGCAACAGCUCUCAUCCAUCGUGGGCAGAGACACUUAGCAAAAUAACAGAAUUCCUCCCCACGGAAACAGUGUGUUUAGGGAAAACCCUUAGCUGAAUACUAAGACAGUUUUC
rnacentral:lncRNA from 1 species